GGACGGGAUUGUGGUGCUUGCACUACAUGAGAGUGGCGCACGGGUGCGUAACACGUAUGUAACCUACCUUUAUCAGGGGGAUAGCCUCUCGAAAGAGAGAUUAAGCCCGCAUAACAUCACUGAAGGGCAUCAUUUAGUGAUCAAAUAUUUAUAGGACAAAGAUGGGCAUGCGGAACAUUAGCUAGUUGGUAAGGUAACGGCUUACCAAGGCGACGAUGUUUAGGGGAUCUGAGAGGAUGACCCCCCACACUGGUACUGAGACACGGACCAGACUCCUACGGGAGGCAGCAGUAAGGAAUAUUGGUCAAUGGGCGGAAGCCUGAACCAGCCAUGCCGCGUGCAGGAAGACGGCCCUACGGGUUGUAAACUGCUUUUGCACAGGAAUAAACCCCCGGAUGAAUUCGGGGCUGAAAGUACUGUGAGAAUAAGGAUCGGCUAACUCCGUG
rnacentral:rRNA from 1 species